GUUGUUUGUGCUUCGAACGUCAUCACAUCGUCACGGGAGUCAAGAGUCCACACACCGAGUGCUCGUCACAGCAGAAAGCCUGACUGAUCAUCCAGCGAGGCAAAUGAAUAAUAAAAGAUCAAUGGACAGCUUUGUCAUUAACACUUUGACAGAGUGGCAGCUGACAGACCUUGUCGACAAAUUUAAAGAUUGCACAGGACAGUCUUGUCCUGCAAGGGGAUGCUGCAUCAAAAUUGUUUGAAACUUGGCUACCCAUUUAUGCUGAGAAGAUCCUGUGCCUGGCACCUGGAUGGAUAAACACCAGAUGGUGUUGGGGAUCUCGCCCUGAGGCAGCUGCCAACCUUGCUUCCACCUACAACUUACAAAGUUGGCCGUGGCCGCAGUGUGAAAGUGGUUCGCCACACCAUUCAGGAAUACAGCUUGGCCUUCAUCGACCGUAAGCCUCCUGGAAUAAACAUGGUGGAGUAGCUCAAUGAGGCCAAGGCAUGCAAACCAUACCCCCACAUCCUGACGCUGGGAAAUGAUCAGAGGGCAUUUCAGAAUUUGUUCAAGACAGUUGACUGUUGGCAUGUUGAAUGUUCAGCCAGUUCAUUCAUAAUUGUUGUUUUGCUAUGAAUGUUUUCCUAUCUAGUGAUAUUAACUGCACCAGUUACACUAUUGUUGAUAUUAAUGAAUGUAAUACAAUAAAAAAAUUCUGAGAUUC